GGGUUCCUGGUGUAACGGUUAGCACUCUGGACUUUGAAUCCCAGCGAUCCGAGUUCAAAUCUCGUGGAACCUU